AACGAACGCUGGCGGCAGGCCUAACACAUGCAAGUCGAGCGCCCCGCAAGGGGAGCGGCGGACGGGUGAGUAACGCGUGGGAAUUUUCCUCAAGGUACGGAACAACUCAGGGAAACUUGGGCUAAUACCGUAUGAUGUCUAGCGACCAAAGAUUUAUCGCCUUGGGAUGAGCCCCGCGUCAGAUUAGGUAGUUGGUGGGGUAACGGCCCACCAAGCCUGCGAUCUGUAGCUGGUCUGAGAGGACGAUCAGCCACACUGGGACUGAGACACGGCCCAGACUCCUACGGGAGGCAGCAGUGGGGAAUCUUGCGCAAUGGGCGAAAGCCUGACGCAGCCAUGCCGCGUGAAUGAUGAAGGUCCUAGGAUUGUAAAGUUCUUUCGCCCGUGACGAUGAUGACGGUAAACGGGAGAAGAA
rnacentral:rRNA from 1 species